rnacentral:rRNA from 1 species
AGUGAACGCUGGCGGUAGGCCUAACACAUGCAAGUCGAACGGCAGCACAGUAAGAGCUUGCUCUUACGGGUGGCGAGUGGCGGACGGGUGAGGAAUACAUCGGACUCUACUUUUUCGUGGGGGAUAACGUAGGGAAACUUACGCUAAUACCGCAUACGACCUACGGGUGAAAGCAGGGGAUCUUCGGACCUUGCGCGAUUGAAUGAGCCGAUGUCGGAUUAGCUAGUUGGCGGGGUAAAGGCCCACCAAGGCGACGAUCCGUAGCCGGUCUGAGAGGAUGAUCAGCCACCCUGGAACUGAGACACGGUCCAGACUCCUACGGGAGGCAGCAGUGGGGAAUAUUGGACAAUGGGCGCAAGCCUGAUCCAGCCAUACCGCGUGGGUGAAGAAGGCCUUCGGGUUGUAAAGCCCUUUUGUUGGGAAAGAAAAGCAGCAGGUUAAUACCCCGCUGUUCUGACGGUACCCAAAGAAUAAGCACCGGCUAACUUCGUG